UCGAGGGCCACACCACCCUGAACACGCUCAAUCCCGUCUGAUCUCGGAAGCUAAGUAGGGUCGGGCCUGGUUAGUACUUGGAUGGGAGACCACCUAGAAAGACUGUAGGUACAUGUA
rnacentral:rRNA from 1 species